GUUAGUGGCGGACGGGUGAGUAACGCGUGAGAAUCUGCCCUCAGGAGGGGGAUAACGGCUGGAAACGGCCGCUAAUACCCCAUAUGCCGAGAGGUGAAAUGAGUAAUCGCCUGAGGAUGAGCUCGCGUCUGAUUAGCUAGUUGGUGGGGUAAGAGCCUACCAAGGCUUCGAUCAGUAGCUGGUCUGAGAGGAUGAUCAGCCACACUGGGACUGAGACACGGCCCAGACUCCUACGGGAGGCAGCAGUGGGGAAUUUUCCGCAAUGGGCGAAAGCCUGACGGAGCAACGCCGCGUGAGGGAUGAAGGCCUCUGGGCUGUAAACCUCUUUUAUCAAGGAAGAAGAUCUGACGGUACUUGAUGAAUAAGCCACGGCUAAUUCCGUGCCAGCAGCCGCGGUAAUACGGGAGUGGCAAGCGUUAUCCGGAAUUAUUGGGCGUAAAGCGUCCGCAGGCGGCCUUUUAAGUCUGUUGUCAAAGCGUGGAGCUUAACUCCAUUUCGGCAAUGGAAACUGGGAGGCUUGAGUGUGGUAGGGGCAGAGGGAAUUCCCGGUGUAGCGGUGAAAUGCGUAGAUAUCGGGAAGAACACCAGUGGCGAAGGCGCUCUGCUGGGCCAUAACUGACGCUCAUGGACGAAAGCCAGGGGAGCGAAAGGGAUUAGAUACCCCUGUAGUCCUGGCCGUAAACGAUGAACACUAGGUGUCGGGGGAAUCGACCCCCUCGGUGUCGUAGCCAACGCGUUAAGUGUUCCGCCUGGGGAGUACGCACGCAAGUGUGAAACUCAAAGGAAUUGACGGGGGCCCGCACAAGCGGUGGAGUAUGUGGUUUAAUUCGAUGCAACGCGAAGAACCUUACCAGGGUUUGACAUCCUGCGAACCCCUUGGAAACGAGGGGGUGCCUUCGGGAGCGCAGUGACAGGUGGUGCAUGGCUGUCGUCAGCUCGUGUCGUGAGAUGUUGGGUUAAGUCCCGCAACGAGCGCAACCCACGUCUUUAGUUGCCAGCAUUCAGUUGGGCACUCUAGAGAGACCGCCGGUGAUAAACCGGAGGAAGGUGUGGAUGACGUCAAGUCAUCAUGCCCCUUACAUCCUGGGCUACACACGUACUACAAUGCUACGGACAAAGGGCAGCAAACUCGCGAGAGCUAGCAAAUCCCAUAAACCGUGGCUCAGUUCAGAUCGUAGGCUGCAACUCGCCUACGUGAAGGAGGAAUCGCUAGUAAUCGCAGGUCAGCAUACUGCGGUGAAUACGUUCCCGGGCCUUGUACACACCGCCCGUCACACCAUGGAAGUUGGCCACGCCCGAAGCCGUUACUCCAACCCUUGUGGAGGAGGACGUCGAAGGUGGGGCUGAUGACUGGGGUGAAGUCGUAACAAGGUAGCCGUACCGGAAGGUGC
rnacentral:rRNA from 1 species